UACGGAGGGGGUUAGCGUUGUUCGGAAUUACUGGGCGUAAAGCGCGCGUAGGCGGAUCAGAAAGUAGGGGGUGAAAUCCCGGGGCUCAACCCCGGAACUGCCUCCUAAACUCCUGGUCUUGAGUUCGAGAGAGGUGAGUGGAACUCCGAGUGUAGAGGUGAAAUUCGUAGAUAUUCGGAAGAACACCAGUGGCGAAGGCGGCUCACUGGCUCGAUACUGACGCUGAGGUGCGAAAGUGUGGGGAGCAAACAGG
rnacentral:rRNA from 1 species